rnacentral:rRNA from 1 species
AGAACGAACGCUGGCGGCACGCCUAACACAUGCAAGUCGAGCGCCCAGCAAUGGGAGCGGCGGACGGGUGAGGAACACGUGGGAAUAUGCCUUUCGGUUCGGCACAACUGCGGGAAACUGCAGCUAAUUCCGGAUACGCCCUUACGGGGAAAGAUUUAUCGCCGAAAGAUUAGCCCGCGUCUGAUUAGCUAGUUGGUGAGGUAAUGGCUCACCAAGGCUUCGAUCAGUAGCUGGUUUGAGAGAACGACCAGCCACACUGGGACUGAGACACGGCCCAGACUCCUACGGGAGGCAGCAGUGGGGAAUCUUGGACAAUGGAGGAAACUCUGAUCCAGCGAUGCCGCGUGAGUGAUGAAGGCCUUCGGGUUGUAAAACUCUUUUACCAGGGAAGAUAAUGACUGUACCUGGAGAAUAAGCUCCGGCUAACUCGUCGCCAGCAGCCGC